UACGUAGGGUGCGAGCGUUAAUCGGAAUUACUGGGCGUAAAGCGAGCGCAGACGGUUAUUUAAGUCAGAUGUGAAAUCCCCGAGCUCAACUUGGGACGUGCAUUUGAAACUGGGUAGCUAGAGUGUGUCAGAGGGGGGUAGAAUUCCACGUGUAGCAGUGAAAUGCGUAGAGAUGUGGAGGAAUACCGAUGGCGAAGGCAGCCCCCUGGGAUAACACUGACGUUCAUGCUCGAAAGCGUGGGUAGCAAACAGG
rnacentral:rRNA from 1 species